GAUGAACGCUGGCGGCAUGCCUAAUACAUGCAAGUCGAACGAGAGGAAGGAAAGCUUGCUUUCCUGAAUCUAGUGGCGAACGGGUGAGUAACACGUAGGUAACCUGCCCAUGUGCCCGGGAUAACUUCUGGAAACGGAUGCUAAAACCGGAUAGGUAGCAGACAAGCAUUUGACUGCUAUUAAAGUGGCUAAGGCCAUGAACAUGGAUGGACCUGCGGUGCAUUAGCUAGUUGGUGAGGUAACGGCCCACCAAGGCGACGAUGCAUAGCCGGCCUGAGAGGGCGGACGGCCACAUUGGGACUGAGAAACGGCCCAAACUCCUACGGGAGGCAGCAGUAGGGAAUUUUCGUCAAUGGGGGGAACCCUGAACGAGCAAUGCCGCGUGAGUGAGGAAGGUCUUCGGAUCGUAAAGCUCUGUUGUAAGAGAAAAACGGCACUCAUAGGGAAUGAUGAGUGAGUGAUGGUAUCUUACCAGAAAGUCACGGCUAACUACGUGCCAGCAGCCGCCGUAACAC
rnacentral:rRNA from 1 species